rnacentral:rRNA from 1 species
ACACUCCUGCGGGAGGCAGCAGUGGGGAAUAUUGCACAAUGGGCGCAAGCCUGAUGCAGCCAUGCCGCGUGUAUGAAGAAGGCCUUCGGGUUGUAAAGUACUUUCAGCGGGGAGGAAGGCGAUAAGGUUAAUAACCUUGUCGAUUGACGUUACCCGCAGAAGAAGCACCGGCUAACUCCGUGCCAGCAGCCGCGGUAAUACGGAGGGUGCAAGCGUUAAUCGGAAUUACUGGGCGUAAAGCGCACGCAGGCGGUCUGUCAAGUCGGAUGUGAAAUCCCCGGGCUCAACCUGGGAACUGCAUUCGAAACUGGCAGGCUAGAGUCUUGUAGAGGGGGGUAGAAUUCCAGGUGUAGCGGUGAAAUGCGUAGAGAUCUGGAGGAAUACCGGGGGCGAAGGCGGCCCCUGGACAAAGACUGACGCUCAGGUGCGAAAGCGUGGGGAGCAAACAGGAUUAGAUACCCGGGUAGUCCC